rnacentral:rRNA from 1 species
UACGUAGGGUCCGAGCGUUGUCCGGAAUUACUGGGCGUAAAGAGCUCGUAGGUGGUUUGUCGCGUUGUUCGUGAAAACUCACAGCUCAACUGUGGGCGUGCGGGCGAUACGGGCAGACUUGAGUACUGCAGGGGAGACUGGAAUUCCUGGUGUAGCGGUGAAAAUGCGCAGAUAUCAGGAGGAACACCGGUGGCGAAGGCGGGUCUCUGGGCAUUAACUGACGCU